AUACACUUAGUGGAAUGUUUAGAAACUAAAGGAAGCUGAAAAAGAAAAGAAAAGAAGAAGGAAGGAAGGAAGGAAAAACAAAACUCUUAGGCUAACCCUUUUCUCUCACUCGGUUGGCCAUUCUUCUUCAUUUCUUGAGGAUUUUCUGGAGCUGUAACUCAAGGAGAGCUUGGGCUAGAGCUUAGAGUUAUGGUCCUUGAUUAAGCUUGAGGAUUAGCAGAGGUUACUCACCCAAUUAAGGGAGUUAAGCCUGAGGAUUUGUGGAGUUGAAAUCUAAGGAGGUGUGGAAGAUAACCUAGGUCGAAAUUCUCAAUUGAAGGUAUACGCUAGGGCUCGGAAGGGAUCGUGCUUGAGGGUCAGUUUCAUUGAUCAAAGCUAAUAAAAUCGAAGGUAAGAAAAUUGCACCUGGUUAUGUGAUUAUGUUAGGACUAAGAGCUCCCUAUAUCUGUAUGAUGUCAUAGAUGGUAUUAUGCCAUGGGACAUGUGAUAAAUGACCUAAGAGUGCCGAAAUCAAUAUUUGCGCACAUGGCGCGGCUCGGCCAUUGGAAGCUAAGGACAACUUGAUAUUCACUGAGCUCGGUUUAAGUGGGCCGAAGUCAGUGGGAUAAAUAGGGGGUGCGACCUAAGGGCGUCGACCCUGGUUAUUAUAUGUGAAUUGGUUAUUAAUGUUAAUUGAUAAGCUUGGUAUGCUGAAUGCCUGAUUAUAUGGAUAUUUUGGAUUGUUGAGUAUAAGAUUAUACUGUAUGAAUUAUCUGACUGUUUGAUUGAUAAUUAUGCUCUGUUAUUGUGUUUUCUUCUUGGGCCUUGGCUCACGAGUGCUACAUUGUGCAGGUAAAGGCAAGGGCAAAGUGGACCAGUCCUGAGUUGGAGAGCUUUGGGGCUGAAUGUACAUAGUCAGCUAAUCGGUCGCCACGGCCGAGGAGUGGUACGGGACGAGAAUAACCUAAUUGUCUGUUUUGCCAUUAGAAUGGCUAGUAGCUGUACUUUUAUCUUGAAAUUUUGUAAACUGUCUUUUAACGUUAUUACUUUUGGGAUCCCAUGUAAAAAUAUUUGAUUAUAAGAAAUGAAACUUUUGUGA